AUUGAACGCUGGCGGCAGGCCUAACACAUGCAAGUCGAGCGGAGCGGCGGACGGGUGAGUAAUGCCUAGGAAUCUGCCUGGUAGUGGGGGAUAACGUCAGGAAACGGGAGCUAAUACCGCAUACUAUCAGAUGAGCCUCGGUCGGAUUAGCUAGUUGGAGGGGUAAAGGCCUACCAAGGCGACGAUCCGUAACUGGUAUGCGAGGAUGAUCAGGCACACUGGAACUGAGACACGGCCCAGACUCCUACGGGAGGCAGCAGUGGGGAAUUUUGGACAAUGGGCGAAAGCCUGAUCCAGCCAUGCCGCGUGGGUGAAGAAGGUCUUCGGAUUGUAAAGCACUGUAAUUAGGGAGGCGGUACCAACAGAAUAAGCACCGGCUAACUUCGUGCCAGCAGCCGCGGUAAUUC
rnacentral:rRNA from 1 species